GAGUUUGAUCCUGGCUCAGAUUGAACGCUGGCGGCAGGCCUAACACAUGCAAGUCGAACGGUAACAGGAAGCAGCUUGCUGCUUUGCUGACGAGUGGCGGACGGGUGAGUAAUGUCUGGGAAACUGCCUGAUGGAGGGGGAUAACUACUGGAAACGGUGGCUAAUACCGCAUAACGUCGCAAGACCAAAGAGGGGGACCUUCGGGCCUCUUGCCAUCAGAUGUGCCCAGAUGGGAUUAGCUUGUUGGUGAGGUAACGGCUCACCAAGGCGACGAUCCCUAGCUGGUCUGAGAGGAUGACCAGCCACACUGGAACUGAGACACGGUCCAGACUCCUACGGGAGGCAGCAGUGGGGAAUAUUGCACAAUGGGCGCAAGCCUGAUGCAGCCAUGCCGCGUGUAUGAAGAAGGCCUUCGGGUUGUAAAGUACUUUCAGCGGGGAGGAAGGUGUUGUGGUUAAUAACCGCAGCAAUUGACGUUACCCGCAGAAGAAGCACCGGCUAACUCCGUGCCAGCAGCCGCGGUAAUACGGAGGGUGCAAGCGUUAAUCGGAAUUACUGGGCGUAAAGCGCACGCAGGCGGUCUGUCAAGUCGGAUGUGAAAUCCCCGGGCUCAACCUGGGAACUGCAUUCGAAACUGGCAGGCUUGAGUCUUGUAGAGGGGGGUAGAAUUCCAGGUGUAGCGGUGAAAUGCGUAGAGAUCUGGAGGAAUACCGGUGGCGAAGGCGGCCCCCUGGACAAAGACUGACGCUCAGGUGCGAAAGCGUGGGGAGCAAACAGGAUUAGAUACCCUGGUAGUCCACGCCGUAAACGAUGUCUACUUGGAGGUUGUGCCCUUGAGGCGUGGCUUCCGGAGCUAACGCGUUAAGUAGACCGCCUGGGGAGUACGGCCGCAAGGUUAAAACUCAAAUGAAUUGACGGGGGCCCGCACAAGCGGUGGAGCAUGUGGUUUAAUUCGAUGCAACGCGAAGAACCUUACCUGGUCUUGACAUCCACAGAAGAAUCCAGAGAUGGAUUUGUGCCUUCGGGAACUGUGAGACAGGUGCUGCAUGGCUGUCGUCAGCUCGUGUUGUGAAAUGUUGGGUUAAGACCCGCAACGAGCGCAACCCUUAUCCUUUGUUGCCAGCGGUCCGGCCGGGAACUCAAAGGAGACUGCCAGUGAUAAACUGGAGGAAGGUGGGGAUGACGUCAAGUCAUCAUGGCCCUUACGACCAGGGCUACACACGUGCUACAAUGGCGCAUACAAAGAGAAGCGACCUCGCGAGAGCAAGCGGACCUCAUAAAGUGCGUCGUAGUCCGGAUUGGAGUCUGCAACUCGACUCCAUGAAGUCGGAAUCGCUAGUAAUCGUGGAUCAGAAUGCCACGGUGAAUACGUUCCCGGGCCUUGUACACACCGCCCGUCACACCAUGGGAGUGGGUUGCAAAAGAAGUAGGUAGCUUAACCUUCGGGAGGGCGCUUACCACUUUGUGAUUCAUGACUGGGGUGAAGUCGUAACAAGGUAACC
rnacentral:rRNA from 1 species